rnacentral:rRNA from 1 species
CGGACGGGUGAGUAAUGCUUGGGAAUCUGGCUUAUGGAGGGGGAUAACGACGGGAAACUGUCGCUAAUACCGCGUAAUAUCUUCGGAUUAAAGGGUGGGACUUUCGGGCCACCUGCCAUAAGAUGAGCCCAAGUGGGAUUAGGUAGUUGGUGGGGUAAAGGCCUACCAAGCCGACGAUCUCUAGCUGGUCUGAGAGGAUGACCAGCCACACUGGAACUGAGACACGGUCCAGACUCCUACGGGAGGCAGCAGUGGGGAAUAUUGCACAAUGGGGGGAACCCUGAUGCAGCCAUGCCGCGUGAAUGAAGAAGGCCUUCGGGUUGUAAAGUUCUUUCGGUGAUGAGGAAGGGUGAUGUUUUAAUAGAGCAUUACGUUGACGUUAGUCACAGAAGAAGCACCGGCUAACUCCGUGCCAGCAGCCGCGGUAAUACGGAGGGUGCGAGCGUUAAUCGGAAUGACUGGGCGUAAAGGGCACGCAGGCGGUGACUUAAGUGAGAUGUGAAAGCCCCGAGCUUAACUUGGGAAUUGCAUUUCAUACUGGGUCGCUAGAGUAUUUUAGGGAGGGGUAGAAUUCCACGUGUAGCGGUGAAAUGCGUAGAGAUGUGGAGGAAUACCGAAGGCGAAGGCAGCCCCUUGGGAAUAUACUGACGCUCAUGUGCGAAAGCGUGGGGAGCAAACAGGAUUAGAUACCCUGGUAGUCCACGCUGUAAACGCUGUCGAUUUGGGGAUUGGGCUUUGAGCUUGGUGCCCGUAGCUAACGCGAUAAAUCGACCGCCUGGGGAGUACGGCCGCA